UACGUAGGGUGCGAGCGUUAAUCGGAAUUACUGGGCGUAAAGCGUGCGCAGGCGGUUCGUUGUGUCGGCGGUGAAAGCCCCGGGCUCAACCUGGGAAUGGCCGUUGAAACUGGCGAACUGGAGUGUGGCAGAGGGGGGUGGAAUUCCGCGUGUAGCAGUGAAAUGCGUAGAGAUGCGGAGGAACACCGAUGGCGAAGGCAGCCCCCUGGGCCAAUACUGACGCUCAUGCACGAAAGCGUGGGGAGCAAACAGG
rnacentral:rRNA from 1 species